UCCUGUCUCCAUUCAAGCCUAUGAAUUAAAGAGCCCACUGCACACCUGGAUGUGAAUCCCUUUCCCUCUUUUCCAUUAUUUUGGUCUCUACACAAAAAUUGUUGAACAACACAACACAGAACAAAGCAAAAGUAACCUCCUUUAAACACAUCGUGCCAGCAAAAUCCAUAAGGUGUUAGGGUCACUACAAGCAAGAAAGAAAUGGAAGGUAAAUUCUCAUUUAAAAAAAUUCCUCCUUGCUCCUUGCUCCCAGAAGGGAAGUUCCCUCCCAGCAACUUCCUCCCUGGUUAGAGCAUCUCUUCCCAGCUGUCUCCAAGCGUCAGGCCCUCCCCAUAAAUAGAGGAGUUGAGGGAGGACAGGAAGGCUGCUUCAUCCCAUUUUGGAGGCUCCAGGCCAUACUGUGCAGGUAUUUAUUUGAAAGGCCAGCUGGAGCCCUCAUCCUGUAGAAAAAGCUGAGAGGAGAUAACCCCAAAAAACCCAUGCCCAAAAGGAAAAUCAUUCCCUUGUUGGAGAAACUAUGCCUGGAGAAUGUGGUUACAAAUAUGAAAAGGCUAUGGGUUAGAGUUUACUUGAUGAAGUUACUUGACCCUACGAAUCGUGACCAUGACACCAUCACAGGACCCUUCAGCAUGCUGGCUGGCUCCCUUCUCCAGGAUCUGCUUGAGAUCAUGCGAGAGAGAAGACUUCUGACCCCAUCCAUACUUCACAUUCUCCUUUUGCCACAACUAAAGUCACUGAAUUUGAAUUACUGCUCAUAUUAUGUUGACAACACUCUUGUCCAAACCAUCACAGUACGCUGCAAGGAGGAAUGGUCAGCAGAGUCGGCCACAGAAUGAAGGCAGAGCAAGGAACUUGUGCUUGCCUCCUCUCCAGUUCCCUGAGCUUGUUAACUUUUGCCUGGUGUACCAUGAAUUCGGUACUCCACUGCCUUCCCUGUAUAAAGUGGUUUUGGAAAAUAUCCUGGAAUCAGUGUUCAAAAAUUCCCCAUGCCUGGAGGUCUUGCAUCUAUUCUGCCUGCCAUUCUCUCUGGAUGAGGCAUUUCAGAAAGCACUAAAACCACCUAGUACUGCCCUGCAAUGUCUUCGGGAGCUUGAACUAGCUCGGGCUCAGAUAUCAAUUCGCACCAUCGAUUUGCUGAUUUUCUCUGAGAAUCAGCUGAGAUUACUCUCCUUGGAGAAAUGCUUCCACAUAAGCCGGGUAGACUACAAUGAGCUCCUCCGAAGAGUCAGGAAAGAGAACUUGGAAGUAAUUAUUAUGCGGGAAUGAAAAAACCCAACCCUCUCCACUUGCUCGGAAUGGCAGCUCCAUUGCUCAUAGGGCCAGGACAGUAUGUUUAUUUUUUAAUAAAGCUUUUUUUAUACUACUCAAAUUUUUGUCUCUGAAUUAUAUUGUGAUAAAAACACAGGAAGAAUUGGGUGUUCCAGAGGGACUCGAACAACAUUUGG
rnacentral:lncRNA from 11 species